UCUGAAUCUGCGUACGGCUCCGCAAACCAGUUGUAAUACACGGCGCGUCCACGUCUUGGCCGGGUACUUGUACUGGGUCUUGACAAAUCAAAACUAGUUGGAUAUCCCUGGUAAUUCUGGGGCUAAUACAUGACUGCAACACGGAGCCUCAUCGCUGUCCCACGGGGUAACUCGCGGGGUCGGAUGGGGAAACGUGCGAAAACCAAAUAAAUGAAGCUCGGAUUACGACUUCAUGAGAUGAGCGCACGUUUUAUACCCGCACGUUCACUUGUUGGAUACCAGGCGUUAUUUUGAAGGCGGCUCGCGCCCUACUCGGGGCUUUCUCGGUUAUGUGUGGUUCGUCCGCAAUUUCUGGGGGGUCUUAGAGGGGGAACAACGUGGGUAUCGUCCCGAUGGUUUCGUUCUGGGCGGGGUAGCGCAGCGGCUUCUGACCUAUCAACUAGAAUGCGAUGUAAAGGAUUGCAAUGGUGACAACGGUACAG
rnacentral:rRNA from 1 species